GCGUAGAUGUUAUUAUAAGUUAUUAGUAGAAAAUAGAAGCUCAACUUCUGGCGGCUAAUAAUACUAUAAUAAUUGAGGGCAGAGGAGGUUGACGGAAUUCUGUGUGGAGCGGUGAAAUGCUUAGAUAUACAGAGGAACACCAAAAUAGGCGAAGGCAGUUAACUAUUCUGUUCCUGACAUUGAGGCAUGAAAGCGUGGGGAGCAAAACGGAUUAGAUACCCGUGUAGUCCACGCCCUAAACGAUGAGUAUUAGGCACUGGGCUUUAGCUCAGCGUCACAGCUAACGCGUUAAAUACUCCGCCUGGGUAGUACGAUCGCAAGAUUGAAACUUAAAGGAAUUGA
rnacentral:rRNA from 1 species